CGUCUAUAUACGUAUAGCAUAUCAAUAAGCGGAGGAAAAGAAACUAACUAGGAUUCCCUCAGUAACGGCGAGUGAAGCGGGAAGAGCUCAAAUUUGAAAUCUUCAAGGUUCUACCUUGACGAAUUGUAGUUUAAAGAAGUGUUUUCUGUUGGAAGUUUUGGUAAAAGUUCUUUGGAAUAGGACAUCAUAGAGGGUGAGAAUCCCGUAUUUGACCAUUAUUUCCAACUUUGUGAUACACUUUCAAAGAGUCGGAUUGUUUGGGAAUGCAGUCCAAAAUGGGUGGUAAAUUUCAUCUAAAGCUAAAUACUGGCGAGAGACCGAUAGCGAACAAGUACCGUGAGGGAAAGAUGAAAAGAACUUUGAAAAGAGAGUUAAACAGUACGUGAAAUUGUCAAAAGGGAAGCGUUUGACACCAGUGUUGUUUUCUCGAAAAUCAAUUAAAAAGUGUCUAGGAUUUUGUGUUGUAUUGACUUCAUCAGCUUUCUGCACUUUUUUCUUGCCUUUUUUAAUGCACUUUUCGUUUAACAAGUCAACAUCAAUUUCUUUUGUUGUAAAAGGUCAUUGGAAGGUGGCUUUCUUUUCGGAGAAAGUGUUUAUAGCCUUUGGCUUCUGCAAUCGGAGAGAUUGAGGUCUGCAGCGUAGAUCCUUCGGGGUUAGAUACAUUUGUGCUAAGUUAUAGCCUUUCAUAGGCAACUUGUUGACUAUGAUCAGUCAUGUAGCUUACUCGCUUAUGCUAUUUUACCUACGCUUAGGAUGUUGACGAUCAGCUGAGCGCG
rnacentral:rRNA from 1 species